rnacentral:rRNA from 1 species
GUAGGGUGCGAGCGUUAAUCGGAAUUACUGGGCGUAAAGCGUGCGCAGGCGGUUUUGUAAGACAGAUGUGAAAUCCCCGGGCUUAACCUGGGAACUGCAUUUGUGACUGCAAGGCUAUGAGUACGGCAGAGGGAGGUAGAAUUCCACGUGUAGCAGGUGAAAUGCUGUAGAUAUGUGGAGGAAUACCGAUGGCGAAGGCAGCCCCCUGGGUCGAUACUGACGCUCAUGCACGAAAGCGUGGGGAGCAAACAGGAUUAGAUACCCUGGUAGUCCACGCCCUAAACGAUGUCACCUAGGUGUUGGGGGAGGAGACUUCCUUAGUACCGCAGCUAACGCGUGAAGUUGACCGCCUGGGGAGUACGGCCGCAAGGUUG